rnacentral:rRNA from 1 species
GGAGUAAGAGAAGUACAGGACGCUUUCCUUCGGGAAGCGAGCGUACACAGGUGCUGCAUGGCUGUCGUCAGCUCGUGUCGUGAGAUGUUGGGUUAAGUCCCGCAACGAGCGCAACCCUGUGUUUAGUUGCAAACAGGUCAAGCUGUGCACUCUAGACAGACUGCCGUGGACAACACGGAGGAAGGUGGGGAUGACGUCAAAUCAUCAUGCCCCUUAUGAUCUGGGCUACACACGUGCUACAAUGGCCGGUACAACGGGCAGCGAAGGAGCGAUCCGGAGCGAGUCCUAAAAAGCCGGUCCCAGUUCGGAUUGCAGGCUGAAACUCGCCUACAUGAAGUUGGAGUUGCUAGUAAUCGCGAAUCAGAAUGUCGCGGUGAAUGCGUUCCCGGGUCUU